GAAAUGCGAUACGUAGUGUGAAUUGCAGAAUUCAGUGAAUCAUCGAAUCUUUGAACGCACAUUGCGCCCUUUGGUAUUCCAAAGGGCAUGCCUGUUCGAGCGUCAUUUGUACCCUCAAGCUUUGCUUGGUGUUGGGCGUUUUUUGUCUUUGGCUCGCCCAAAGACUCGCCUUAAAACGAUUGGCAGCCGGCCUACUGGUGUCGCAGCGCAGCACAUUUUUGCGCUUGCAAUCAGCAAAAGAGGACGGCAAUCCAUCAAGACUCCUUCUCACGUUUGACCUCGGAUCAGGUAGGGAUACCCGCUGAACUUAAGC
rnacentral:misc_RNA from 1 species